rnacentral:rRNA from 1 species
AUUGAACGCUGGCGGCAGGCCUAACACAUGCAAGUCGAACGGUAACAGGGAUCAGCUUGCUGAUUCGCUGACGAGUGGCGGACGGGUGAGUAAUGUCUGGGAAACUGCCUGAUGGAGGGGGAUAACUACUGGAAACGGUAUCUAAUACCGCAUAACGUCGCAAGACCAAAGAGGGGGACCUUCGGGCCUCUUGCCCUCGGAUGUGCCCAGAUGGGAUUAGCUAGUAGGUGGGGUAACGGCUCACCUAGGCGACGAUCCCUAGCUGGUCUGAGAGGAUGACCAGCCACACUGGAACUGAGACACGGUCCAGACUCCUACGGGAGGCAGCAGUGGGGAAUAUUGCACAAUGGGCGCAAGCCUGAUGCAGCCAUGCCGCGUGUAUGAAGAAGGCCUUCGGGUUGUAAAGUACUUUCAGCGGGGAGGAAGGGAGUAAAGUUAAUACCUUUGCUCAUUGACGUUACCCGCAGAAGAAGCACCGGCUAACUCCGUG